CUAAUUUUGCCAGCCAGUGCACUUUGUGUCAACCACUGAUGGCUAAUAGAGUAAAUAAUUAUAAAGCUACCUUGCCAUAAAUCGCAAGGUAGCUUUAUAAUUAGUUUCUCUCUUUUCCUCUCUUGCUGCACUGAAGUGGAGAUAGUAGCCGCAUCAAACAUCACGGAUAACCUCCCCUCUACACUGGGCUGCAGGGGGGGGUUGACUUCGCCCCCCCCCGAAAUGAUGAGGAAGAGCAUGAAUCAAACUGCUCCCGGGAGGCUCACAGGGAGAUGUGAGUCGUCAGCUUCGGCUCGGUGGCCAAGCCGCCGGCGGUCAGACUGGGAUCGCUUUCCCUCCAUCAGCAGGAUGUUAAGAGCCAAAACCCUGAGUGGUCUGCAAUGUGAGGCCUGAAAGACAGGGGUUGCAGAGCAGUUUAACAGCGAGUGCUAUGAGUUGGAAAAUGUGCGAUUUUCUCUGGAGGAUGUCAACUAAUCUACUCGGAUAAGAAACAUUCAAACGCAAUUUGACGAAACAACUACUGAAGCGCCAAACUAAUGCAAGUCCCAAGCGUCCUGCUUCACAACAACCUGCAACCGAUGGCUCUUCAGAACUGAGUGUACACAACCCCCAUACCAACCAAUUUCUCAUCUAACGCACGGAUCCACUCUACUAACAGGAGUCAAGUGGAGUCUAUAUUUCAAAGAGGGCACUGCGUUGUAGCUGAGGCAAUUACAAACAAGCUUUCACCCCCUGAAAAGCUGCCAACGAGUUUACGCCUCUGUCAGCAGUUUGCUUCGGGGCUUCUGUUGAAGCAACGUGAUGAUUUUCAGUCCCAGUUACUGUAUCAUGACCAAAGUUUGUCUACCUGCCUCGGGGGAAGUGAUAAAAAAACAAAAAAACACACGGCAAGUAUUUAUCCUGUGUAGUCAAGAAGUCGUCUCUUGAAAGGAUAAGAGGGGUCUGGAAGUGGGAGAAGAAUGGAGUCUUCAAAGAGCAGGAGAGACACUGCAGCCAAACUUCCAUUACACCUUGCGGCAGUGGAAUAAAGCAAAAGCAGCAGGGAAGUAUUAAUUCACUGUGCUGGAUCGCUGGUGUUUAUCUCCUUUCGCUGUGGCCCAACAUAUAACUUUGUUUGCUCGUUUGGCUCUGUUGCUACUGGGAGAUUAAUAGGUUCUCCGUGGAGAACCUCCCUUGAUCACGUACAUCCAUGUGAGGUGGAUCAUAUUUCACUGCUGUAAAAUGUAGACACAACCGAUCUGAACAUAUUUGGGUCUUAAAUGUUGUUUGGAUGAAUCAAGACAUUUGAAGUUGGCGGAAGGUAAUUUCUUUUUAAAAGUCUAUAGAAACUUGAUUUCUGAUUAUUAAUCUAUUUGAUGUGUCUGACAAUGAGUUUUUUUAAUAUAUGAUGAUAAGGAC
ensembl:lncRNA